rnacentral:rRNA from 1 species
UACGGAGGGGGCUAGCGUUGUUCGGAAUUACUGGGCGUAAAGCGCACGUAGGCGGCUUUGUAAGUUAGAGGUGAAAGCCCAGGGCUUAACCCUGGAAUUGCCUUUAAGACUGCAUCGCUAGAAUCGUGGAGAGGUGAGUGGAAUUCCGAGUGUAGAGGUGAAAUUCGUAGAUAUUCGGAAGAACACCAGUGGCGAAGGCGAGUCCCUGGACGACUCCUGACACUGAGGCACGAAAGCUAGGGGAGCAAACAGG